AGCCGAUCAUUUUCUACAUGGGUUGAUUUAAAGAGUACUUUUGUAUAGUUAGAUUUUAGGAACUUAAUUUCUGGUAUCACACAGUUUAAAUGAGUAAUAUAUUAGGAAUAGCUUCCUGAAAUAUGCAAAGGAGCACAAUUAAAAGGAGAAGAAUGUUCCUUUAGGUUGGAUUACUUACAGCAUUUAUGGAAUACCUCCAGUGGCAAUCUUUCAAGCCUUUUGGAGAGGCCCAGCGGCAAGAACUGGAGCCCCCUGCCUACAGCCACUUUACCGAGAACUUCAAAGCAGAUUCUCCAAGAUCUCCAUGACUUCAGCUUCAGCCAAUGACUUCAUUGUAGCCUGAUUAGAGACUCUGAAUCAGAACCAUCCAGGUAACCUCUACACACAACAUGGAGCUUAAACACAACCCUGAGAUCCAAGAGCUGUGUGCUUUAUCGAUUGAGCCAGCCAGGUGCCCAACAUGGACAAUUUUUUGCUUGGACAUACUCUCAUUUUUCUUGGCUAUGUACCCAGAAGUAGAAUUUAUAUGAUUCUAAAUGAUCAAAAUCAUGGUCCAACAAUGUAAUUAUACUGUAUUCCCAAAGAUAUUAUGUAAAAAUGCUAUCCUCUUAAAAGUAUUCUGCAGAAAAAUGUUGGCCAUGCAGAAGGAAAACUACAUAAUAAUAUGGAAAAAGACUACAUGAAGUGAAAAGAGGACAAAACCCACUUAAAAUCCUUCCUGGGCUUCCCAUUCCCUGCUCUGUCCUAUGGACCUAGGGACCUCAGUUCUCUCCCUGUCAGUUCUCAGGACCAGCUAUGUAUACUACCUAUCAGAGAUUUUUACAUCUCAGCUUCAGGACUUUUGUUCAUGUUGUUUCCUCUGCCUGUAUCACUUUUUCCCCACUUCUUUGCCCAAUGGUUUCAAGUCUCAUCUUAAAUGUCACUUCCUCAGAGAAACCUUCUCUGUUAUCCCUGCUUAGUCUAAGAUUAAGUGUUUCCAUCGCAGUCUGCAAUUUUCCAUCUUAAAUACUUUUGAUACUGGUAAUACUUUAUUCAGUCAGUAAUCAAAUACUGAGAAGUAUUACAUGCAGGGAUACAGAGUGAAACAAAACACACAAGAUCUGCCAUCCUAGACCUUGUAUUCUAGGAAGGGUAUCCAUGCACAUAUAUACAAAUCAAUGUACUGGGUAAUUUUAUUUCAUUUUAUUCCAGUGUAGUUAACAUGCAGUGUUAUAGUAGUUUUUGGUGUGCAAUACAGUGAUUCAACAGUUCCAUGCAUUAUUCAGUGUUCAUCAGUUAAGUAUAAUAUUAAUCUUUUUCACUUAUUUCACCCAUCCCCCCCCACCCAUCUGAUAACCAUAUAUUCCCUAUAGUUGAGGAAUCUCAACUCUAUAGUUGAGUUGUUUUUUUUUUUAUUUCCCUUCGUUGGCUAUUUUCUGUCUUAAAUUCCACAAUGCGUGAUAUUGAUGGGGGAACACAGGGCUAGUUGAGGACAAGGCACGAGCUUAGGGCAGCACACUGACUAGUCUUUGAAAGAGGCAAAGGGACAUUCCUCUACGGACUCAACUGCCUCGAUGUUCAUACUUUGCUAAGGGCAAAAGGCAAUCUUAGCCUGACUCUCAGGAACCUGUAAGUCUACUUUAACACAUAAAAAUUCCUUUAGAA